rnacentral:rRNA from 1 species
GAUGAACGCUGGCGGCGUGCCUAAUACAUGCAAGUCGAGCGAAUGGAUUAAGAGCUUGCUCUUAUGAAGUUAGCGGCGGACGGGUGAGUAACACGUGGGUAACCCGCCCAUAAGACUGGGAUAACUCCGGGAAACCGGGGCUAAUACCGGAUAACAUUUUGAACCGCAUGGUUCGAAAUUGAAAGGCGGCUUCGGCUGUCACUUAUGGAUGGACCCGCGUCGCAUUAGCUAGUUGGUGAGGUAACGGCUCACCAAGGCAACGAUGCGUAGCCGACCUGAGAGGGGGAUCGGCCAGACAGGGACUGAGACACGGCCCAGACACCUACGGGGGGAAGCAAUAGGGAAUCUUCCGCAAUGGACGAAAGUCUGACGGAGCAACGCCGCGUGAGUGAUGAAGGCUUUCGGGUCGUAAAACUCUGUUGUUAGGGAAGAACAAGUGCUAGUUGAAUAAGCUGGCACCUUGACGGUACCUAACCAGAAAGCCACGGCUAACUACGUGCCAGCAGCCGCCGUAA